AGUGCAGAGGGAAAUUGACACAGCCAUGAUGAGGCCUGGCUCACAAGAGCCAUAGUUACUGUAGGAGUUUCUGUGGCUAAAUAUGCUUAGCUAUUGAGGCAAGGACAUGUGCUGGAUGUGUAUGCAGUCUUUGAAGCUGGAGAGGCCUGUGUUGGAAACUGUGCUCUGUCCCAUGCCAGUUCCCUGACCUUGGCACCCCAAGGGGCCGUCCUUCCUACCCCCAGCCCUGUGAGUCAUCUUCAUUGAGUUCCAAGAAUCCCCGCGCAGCUGUGCAGCUGUACAUUGCAUGCUGACACUGAAUGAGCAGUGACUGGACGCUGCCUUCCAUGUGGGACACGAGCCUUCAAUGCCUGAUAAAGCCUGAAAGCCACAAUCUGCCCUGGAAACCCAGCUCCACCCUGCUUCCACUACAUCAGGAGGUGAAGGAGGAAAUUGAAAGUGUGAAACACCAGUGGGAGGAAAAGGUUCCUGUAACAAAUGUGGUUAUCAAUGGGAAAGAAGCUUUCUAGAGCUUAUAUACGGGGCCGAGUCAUGCACACUUCAUCAUACUCACCAGGGGACGACCCAGACCAUCAUUCUUCUCUGGUCUGCCACCUUCAUCCUCCACUUGCAGCCUCCUUUGCAGUGACCAUACAGGUCUGAAAUCCAGGUCACAGAGCCCUAACAUAACUACAAAGGAUCCUGAAAAGUGUUGUAUUCCAGUGUGCCUCGGAAAAGAAAAUAGGAUUAAUAAACUUUGAUUAGACUAAA
ensembl:lncRNA MIR3681HG MIR3681 host gene